rnacentral:misc_RNA from 1 species
GUGAAUCAUCGAAUUUUUGAACGCAAAUUGCACUCUCUUCGGAGCGUAUGACUGUUUGAGGGUCAGCCUAAAUAGAAUCGACAUAGUCGCUGUUUCUCGGUGACAUUCGUAGGAAAUUGGGUCAUCUUAUACCUUUGGGUUUUAAUCGGUUUAAAAUUUUCUUUAUGAUUCCACGACCGUAUAUUAGAUUUACUUGUUAUAUUCUU